GCUCAGUUCAGUGGCAGAACAUCUGCUUUGCAUGCAGAAGGUCCCAAGUUCAAGCCCCAAAUGGCAAGCAGCG